AGAAUCAACGCUGGCGGCGUGCCUCAGACAUGCAAGUCGAACGCGAAAGUCCCCUUCAGGGGACAAGUAGAGUGGCGCACGGGUGAGUAACACGUAGGUAAUCUACCUUCGGAUGGGGAAUAACAACCGGAAACGGUUGCUAAUACCGCAUAAUGCAGCGGCACCUAAUGGUGACAGUUGUUAGAGCGGGGGAUCGAAAGACCUCGCGUCUGAAGAGGAGCCUGCGGCGGAUUAGCUAGUUGGUAGGGUAACGGCCUACCAAGGCGACGAUCCGU
rnacentral:rRNA from 1 species